GAUGAACGCUGGCGGCGUGCCUCAAACAUGCAAGUCGAGCGGGGCUAUGUAAUAUCGCAAGGUAGAACAUAGCCUAGCGGCGAACGGGUGAGUAACACGUGGGUAACCUGCCUGGAAGACAGGGAUAACGAUUCGAAAGGGUCGCUAAUACCUGAUAAUAUCCUUUCAUCGCAUGGUGAUAGGAAGAAAGGGGAAACCCGCUUUCAGAUGGGCCCGCGUCCCAUCAGCUAGUUGGUAAGGUAAAGGCUUACCAAGGCGACGACGGGUAGCCGGUCUGAGAGGAUGUACGGCCACACUGGGACUGAGAUACGGCCCAGACUCCUACGGGAGGCAGCAGUUGGGAAUCUUAGGCAAUGGACGAAAGUCUGACCUAGCGACGCCGCGUGAGGGAAGAAGGCCUUCGGGUUGUAAACCUCUGUCACGGGGGAAGAAGUAAGUGACGGUACCCCAAGAGGAAGCCCCUGCUAACUACGUG
rnacentral:rRNA from 1 species